UACGGAGGGUGCGAGCGUUAAUCGGAAUUACUGGGCGUAAAGCGUGCGUAGGCGGUUUGAUAAGUCGGGUGUGAAAGCCCCGGGCUUAACCUGGGAAUUGCAUUCGAUACUGUCUGACUCGAGUCUGGGAGAGGGAAGCGGAAUUCCGGGUGUAGCGGUGAAAUGCGUAGAUAUCCGGAGGAACACCGGUGGCGAAGGCGGUUCUCUGGGCCUGUACUGACGCUGAGGAACGAAAGCGUGGGGAGCGAACAGG
rnacentral:rRNA from 1 species